CGAGUCUUCUCCUCUGCAACAACAGAAGAGUUUUCGUCUUUAUAAAAAUGUUAGGGAAUGAAUACAUAAUUUGGGUUGUUGGCCACAAUUGACAGAGACACCCAUAAACAAUCUGAUGUGGAGUCCACUGAUAUGAUUCUCUGUCCGUGAUAUUUAUAAGACGCCCCUGGCUCCAUUAUAUAACAAUCACAAUGCACAGAAACACCCAUAAACAAUCUGCCCACUUGAUUCUGUUUUCGGACUGACUGAUUUAAAACUUACCUAAUAACUAAAUUUAACCUUCCAUCCAAUACUACUAUCUCUCCCACUAGACAUGUGGUGGCGGAGCUUCACCACCUCAACAGCCAGCCGCGAUCUCCUUGGUAAAAAAUGGGACGCCCUUAUUAUCGGUGCCGGCCACAAUGGCUUGACAGCCGCUGCCUAUCUUGCUCGUGGUGGACUCUCCGUGGCCGUCCUUGAGCGCCGUCACGUCAUCGGCGGUGCAGCCGUCACCGAAGAACUUAUUCCAGGCUUUAAAUUCUCUCGCUGCAGUUACCUUCAGAGUCUCCUCCGUCCCACUGUGAUUAAAGAGUUAGAGUUGGGGAGACAUGGAUUAAAGUUGCUGAAGAGAAAUCCGUCGUCGUUUACGCCUUGCUUAGAUGGACGCUAUCUUUUAUUAGGACCUAAUAAAGAGCUUAAUCAUUCUGAGAUAUCUAAGUUCUCUAUUCGAGAUGCCAAUGCUUAUCCCAGAUAUGAGAAUCAGCUCGAGAAGUUUUGUGAGUUCAUGGAUCCAUUUCUAGAUUCACCACCUCCGGAAUCUUUGCAAAGGGUUUCAUCUUUUAACGUUAGGUUCAAGGACAAGAUGUAUAAAUCAGCUUUUUGGGCUCGUCUUUUGCGUGGCGCUUUCUCCUUGGGUCAGAAUGAGAUGGUGGACUUCAUGGACCUUUUAUUGUCCCCAGCUUCAAAAGUUUUGAAUAAAUGGUUUGAGACAGAUGUUCUGAAGGCAACUCUUGGGACAGAUGCUGUAAUUGGCUCUACAGGCAGCAUCCAUACACCAGGAAGUGGAUAUGUUCUGUUACAUCAUGUCAUGGGAGAAACUGAUGGGGAUCGUGGAAUCUGGUCGUAUGUUGAAGGUGGGAUGGGCUUAGUAUCCUUGGCUAUUAGUAAUGCUGCUAGGGAAGCUGGGGCUCACAUUGUGACAAAUGCCGAGGUUUCAGAAAUGAUGAUUAAUGAUUCUGGCGCAGUGAAUGGGGUACUACUGGCUGAUGGUAGGCAGGUGCUUUCUUCAGUUGUCCUGUCAAAUGCGACACCAUAUAAAACUUUCAUGGAAUUAGUGCCCAAUAAUGUUCUUCCUGAAGAUUUUGUCCGCGCCUUGAAGUACUCUGAUUAUAGUUCUGCUACUACAAAGAUAAACAUAGCUGUUGAUAAACUGCCCCAAUUUCGAUGUUGCAAGCUAAAUCAUCCAGAUGCAGGUCCCCAGCACAUGGGCACCAUUCAUAUUGGUUCAGAGAGUAUGGAGGAGAUUGACUUGGCCUGUCAAGAUGCUGUUAAUGGGUUACCAUCAAAGAGACCUGUUAUUGAAAUGACAAUACCUUCUGCAUUGGAUAAGAUUAUUUCUCCACCUGGUAAGCAUGUGAUAAACUUGUUUAUUCAGUACACACCCUACAGCCCCUCAGAUGGAAGCUGGAGAGAUCCUGCUUAUAGAGUGAGUUCACCAAAUUUCAGGAAUCAUUUGCGCAAAGAUGCUUUAACAUGAUCGAUGAGUAUGCCCCUGGCUUCAACUCAUCAAUCAUUGGUUAUGACAUGUUGACACCACCUGACCUUGAAAGGGAGAUUGGUCUAACAGGUAUUUCAUAGCCAUAAACGUCUGCAUUUGGGAAAUUAGGCACAACAUUUGCAGGUUUUGGAUUAACUAUGAACGGAUUAAGAUUCUUGAAUGUGUACUCAGCAACCAUUUGAUAACCGGAUCGAGUUUAUGCUAAUUUGAACUCAAUCAGACUAGGGGGUAAUAUAUUUCAUGGUGCUAUGGGAUUGGAUUCCCUCUUCCUCAUGCGACCAGUUAAAGGAUGGUCAAACUAUAGGACUCCUCUACAAGGGCUUUACCUGUGUGGAAGUGGAAGCCAUCCGGGUGGUGGUGUUAUGGGUGCGCCUGGCCGUAAUGCUGCACAUGUAGUUCUUCAGGAUGUUAAAAACCAUUAAACUGAUGGAUGGCACAAAUUUGCAAAUCUGUUGCCUAAAGUGUCUCAAAUCUUCUGUUGUCAUCCUGGAGUGAAGUGUUAUGUCGUUAGUUAAUGGUUAUAUCUUAUCUUUGUAUGACUGGUACAUGAGACCCCAUUUCAAUUAGAGAAUUAUUCUGAUCAA